rnacentral:lncRNA from 1 species
GGCGAUGCGAGAGGGCCUUCCCAGAGCACCCGGGCAUCUCUGUGUGUCUCCAGGGAAGUGGGAUUCUUGUGGGGGGCUGCCAGUGCCUGCUCCCAGAGCCGCAGCGUAUGUCUUCCUCUCCUCCCUUUGAGGCAGGGGCUGCAGCCACUCAGAUCCCACUGGUCAGGUCCGUGAUGACUCGGGCUUUCACCAGCUUCCGCAGGAACUCCUUCUCCCGUUGGAUGUUGUGCGUCCAGGACUCUUUGAUGGCAGACAUCUUGAUGUUCUCAUAGUAGUGCAGUGGCGCAUUGGGUGAACUCAUGUCAUAGCCAAACCCAGCGACCGCCACCUCAUCACAGUUGUGGAGUGCCAUGGUUAUUG